UGGGGAAUUUUGGACAAUGGGCGCAAGCCUGAUCCAGCCAUACCGCGUGAGUGAAGAAGGCCUUCGGGUUGUAAAGCUCUUUCAGACGGAAAGAAACGGUUACGGCUAAUACCCGUGACUAAUGACGGUACCGUAAGAAGAAGCACCGGCUAACUACGUGCCAGCAGCCGCGGUAAUACGUAGGGUGCGAGCGUUAAUCGGAAUUACUGGGCGUAAAGCGUGCGCAGGCGGUUUGGUAAGACAGAUGUGAAAUCCCCGGGCUUAACCUGGGAACUGCAUUUGUGACUGCCAGACUAGAGUGCAGAAGGGGCAAUCGGAAUUCUUGGUGUAGCGGUGAAAUGCGUAGAUAUCAAGAGGAACACCUGAGGUGAAGACGGGUUGCUGGGCUGACACUGACGCUGAGGCGCGAAAGCCAGGGGAGCAAACGGGAUUAGAUACCCCAGUAGUCCCUGAGCGGGCUGGCAAGGCGCAU
rnacentral:rRNA from 1 species